rnacentral:rRNA from 1 species
CCUACGGGAGGCAGCAGUGAGGAAUAUUGGUCAAUGGACGUAAGGCUGAACCAGCCAAGUCGCGUGAAGGAAGACUGCCCUAUGAGUUGUAAACCUCUUUUGUACGGGGGUAAACCUGACUACGUGUAGCCGGCUGAAGGUACCGUACGAAUAAGGAUCGGCUAAAGCCGUGCCAGCAGCCGCGGUAAUACGGAGGGUUCAAGCGUUAUGCGGAUUUAUUGGGUUUAAAGGGUGCGUAGGCGGGUUUGUAAGGUCGGGGUGAAAUUUGCGGGCUUAACCCGGGCACUGCCGCUGAAACUGGUGACCUAGAGAGGGGGUGAGGUAGGCGGAAUGGGUGGUGUAGCGGUGAAAUGCUUAGAGAUCACGCAGAACACCGAUUGCGAAGGCAGCUUGCCGAUGUAUAACUGACGUUGAAGCACGAAAGCGUGGGGAUCGAACAGGAUUAGAUACCCGAGUAGUC